rnacentral:lncRNA from 1 species
AGCAAACAAAGGGGUCAGGAGGGAAAAUAAUGCACGGGCUUCCUGAGGCCCUGAAGAGGCUGGGCUGGGAGAGAGGGCCAGGCACAGGGAUUUAAGGCUGGCUGCCUGCAGGCCAGGGCAAGCAGGUCCUAAAUGGCAUUGUUUGAAGGUGCCGGCUAAUUGCACAGAGUAGCCUGAGCCUCAAACCCCAGCCCUGGCUCUCUCCUCUGUCCUGGGUGCUGGCGUCUGAGCCUUUGGGACUGCCUGCCCACAUGGAACCAAGUCCAGAGCCUCCGAGUUUGGUGAGGGGACACAGGAUAAUGGGGGGCAGCCUGGGUGGGGUCCUGGGCAGGAUGUCACCCUGAGAUUAGAUCAUGGGCCUCUGUGCCUAAGGACAUAUAGCCACUGACAGGAAGUUUGUGGGGUGUGCUGCCUCCUGGCACCCCUGACUGCCUGCUCCCCUAUCAUUCUGGCCUUCUCCCACAGGAAACAAUGAAGGGAGACACCAGACACCUCAAUGAAGAGGAGGGCACCAGCGGGAGGGAUGACUCCAUUAUCGUCAACGGGGCCUGCAGUGACCAGUCUUCCGACUCCAAGGACGCCCCCUCGCCCCCAAUCCUGGAGGCCAUCCGCACCCCGGAGAUCAGAGGGCGCAGAUCAAGCUCUCGACUAUCCAAGAGGGAGGUCUCCAGUCUGCUCAGUUACACUCAGGAUCUGACUGGCGAUGGAGACGGGGAUGGCAAAGGGGAAGAUGGAGAUGGCUCUGACACUCCAGUGAUGCCAAAACUCUUCCGUGAAACCAGGACUUCGCUGGAAAGCCCAGCAUCCCUGAGGCGACGGGCAACUGCAUCUGCAGGCACACCAUGGUCGUCUCCUGCCAGCCCUUACCUCAUCAUCGAUCUCACAGAUGACGAUGUAACACCCCAGAGCAGCAGUACCCCUUACACCAGCCUAGCCCAGGACAGCCAUCAGGACAGCUUGGAGUCCUCACAGGUGGACGCAGAGGGCAGAGAUACAGAUAGCGUGGAGUAUCAGGUACACAAAAAGAUGUGUCUGAAGACCUUAAAUAAGAGGAAAGGAAAACAAUUGCCACCUACUGUUGGUAACUUACAGUGAUAAACUGGUGCUAUAAUUUUUCUCAUUGCUAUUUUUAUUUUUUUCCUGAGACAGGGUCUUGCUAUGCAUACAAGGCUGGCUUCAAACUCAAAGGAAUCCUUCUGUCCCAACUUCCCAAGUGCUGGCCAGCUUAUUUUAUUUUUGAGACAGGGUGUCACUAU